rnacentral:tRNA from 1 species
AGUUCUGGGUCUCCAAACCUUCGCAAUGAGAAGGCCAGGGGUUCGAAUCCCCUCAGCUCCACCA